CCUACGGGUGGCUGCAGUGAGGAAUAUUGGUCAAUGGGCGCGAGCCUGAACCAGCCAAGUAGCGUGAAGGAUGACUGCCCUACGGGUUGUAAACUUCUUUUAUAAAGGAAUAAAGUGAGGCACGUGUGCCUUUUUGUAUGUACUUUAUGAAUAAGGAUCGGCUAACUCCGUGCCAGCAGCCGCGGUAAUACGGAGGAUCCGAGCGUUAUCCGGAUUUAUUGGGGUUAAAGGGAGCGUAGAGGGGUUGUUAAGUCAGUUGUGAAAGUUUGCGGCUCAACCGUAAAAUUGCAAUUGAUACUGGCAGCCUUGAGUACAGUUGAGGUAGGCGGAAUUCGUGGUGUAGCGGUGACAUGCUUAGAUAUCACGCAGAACUCCGAUUGCGAAGGCAGCUUACUAAACUGCCACUGACAUUGAUGCUCGAAAGUGUGGGUAUCAAACAGGAUUCGCUACCCGAGUAGUC
rnacentral:rRNA from 1 species